UCUCUUUUUACCAGCCGAAUAUGAAGGCUUGAGAAGCAAUGGAAGAAGCUUCCAACUUUCAGCUAAUGCAUGAUCAAGAUUGGGUGGAAAAUCGAGAAAAAUGAGAAAAUUACCAAAAUGCCCCUGAACUUUGGUAUCUCUACAAUUUAGCCAGGGUUGUCAGGUUAGCUCGGGUUGGAGGCCAUCAGAGAUAUUAUCACAUUGUCAAGUCUACGCUAUCGGUGUAAGUAAAUCUUAGUGUUUCGAGUCUAUGACAUGUAUAGUGUUGUAAAGUUGAGUAAGUAAAUAAUACAAGACUAAGAUAUUGGUAAAUAUUUAAUAAUGCCUCAUGAAUAUUUUGGGCCUUGUAAGCCCGAUUAAAGGAUAAUAUACGUGUGUAUGAAAAGUUUAAAAUUGAUCAAAAA